rnacentral:tRNA from 1 species
GAUAGUAGCUUAGUCAAAGCGCUGAAUUUGUAAUUCAUUGAAGGUAAACAUUACCCAUCUAGU